rnacentral:rRNA from 1 species
GACGAACGCUGGCGGCGUGCCUAAUACAUGCAAGUAGAACGCUGAAGGAGGAGCUUGCUUCUCUGGAUGAGUUGCGAACGGGUGAGUAACGCGUAGGUAACCUGCCUGGUAGCGGGGGAUAACUAUUGGAAACGAUAGCUAAUACCGCAUAAGAGUAGAUGUUGCAUGACAUUUGCUUAAAAGGUGCAAUUGCAUCACUACCAGAUGGCCCUGCGUUGUAUUAGCUAGUUGGUGGGGUAACGGCUCACCAAGGCGACGAUACAUAGCCGACCUGAGAGGGUGAGCGGCCACACUGGGACAGAGACACGGCCCAGACUCCUACGGGAGGCAGCAGUAGGGAAUCUUGGGCGAUGGAGGGAAGUCUGACCGAGAAACGCCGCGUGAGUGAAGAAGGUUGUCGGAUCGUAAAGCUCUGUUUUAAGAGAAGAACGAGUGUGAGAGUGGAAAGUUCACACUGUGACGGUAGCUUACCAGAAAGGGACGGCUAACUACGUG